rnacentral:rRNA from 1 species
CUGCAGUCGAACGAUGAUGGAGGAGCUUGCUCUUCCUGAUUAUGGCGCACGGGUGAGUAUACCAUAGAUAAUGUACCCCUUAGUUUGGGAUAGCACUGGAAACGGUGAUUAAUACCAAAUACUCCUUCUUGUCUUAGGCAAGUCGGGAAAGUUUUUUCGCUAAGGGAUCAGUCUAUGUCCUAUCAGCUAGUUGGUGAGGUAAUGGCUCACCAAGGCUAUGACGGGUAUCUGGUUUGAGAGGAUGAUCAGACACACUGGAACUGAGACACGGUCCAGACUCCUACGGGAGGCAACAGUGAGGAAUAUUGCACAAUGGAGGAAACUCUGAUGCAACAACGCCGCGUGGAGGAUGACGCAUUUCGGUGUGUAAACUCCUUUUAAGAGGGAAGAUAAUGACGGUACCUCUUGAAUAAGCACCGGCUAACUCCGUGCCACCAUCCGCGGUAAUACGGAGGGUGCAAGCGUUACUCGGAAUCACUGGGCGUAAAGGGUGCGUAGGCUGACUUUUAAGUCAGGCGUGAAAUCCAAUGGCUUAACCAUUGAACUGCGCUUGAAACUGGGAGUCUAGAGUUCAGAAGGGGCAGAUGGAAUUAGUGGUGUAGGGGUAAAAUCCGUAGGUAUCACU